rnacentral:misc_RNA from 1 species
CCAAUAGCGUAUAUUAAAGUUGUUGUGGUUAAAAAGCUCGUAGUUGAACCUUGGGCCUGGCUGGCCGGUCCGCCUCACCGCGUGUACUGGUCCGGCCGGGCCUUUCCCUCUGUGGAACCCCAUGCCCUUCACUGGGUGUGGCGGGGAAACAGGACUUUUACUGUGAAAAAAUUAGAGUGCUCCAGGCAGGCCUAUGCUCGAAUACAUUAGCAUGGAAUAAUAGAAUAGGACGUGUGGUUCUAUUUUGUUGGUUUCUAGGACCGCCGUAAUGAUUAAUAGGGACAGUCGGGGGCAUCAGUAUUCAAUUGUCAGAGGUGAAAUUCUUGGAUUUAUUGAAGACUAACUACUGCGAAAGCAUUUGCCAAGGAUGUUUUCAUUAAUCAGGAACGAAAGUUAGGGGAUCGAAGACGAUCAGAUACCGUCGUAGUCUUAACCAUAAACUAUGCCGACUAGGGAUCGGACGGUGUUAUUUUUUGACCCGUUCGGCACCUUACGAGAAACCAAAGUGUUUGGUUC